UACCACAAUUAGGUAUCAAAAAAUUAGAAAUAAGUAUUAAGAUGGUCUGGCGAUUUAAUGUUAUCACUGUGUGCAGUAAUUAAAAUAUUGCGUUUGGUCCGGUUGUUUCUGAAACUCCCUAUAAAAGAUUGACUCUAAUCUGGGGUAGUUAUCAGUUCGAGUUUUAACAUCGUGUGAAGAUGAAGUCCAUAGUGAUCUUGAUAAUCCUUACAUUCGUACCAGGGCUGCAUUCACGGUUUCUAAUCCGACCACAACCUAUAUCAGACGAGUUUCAAGAAAUCAGACCUCUUCCCAUAACCAGCCAUCCCGACCUGGAACCUGUCCCAGCUGACUGGGGGCCAAAACCGCUUCCACUUCCAGAACUUGCACAGGAAAAAGAAUCUCCCACCACUCCCAGUACCAGAUGAAAAGAAUCAGUUGUACCCAUUGUACCCAGAAUCGAAUCUCCAAAACUUGAAGUAGAUUCCGUCACAGUGGUACCAGGAGUGAAAACUUUACCGCUUCCAGUGUAAAACGGGUACCAAUUCCCGAACUUGAAUCGCCAGGAAACUAAGGUGUCCUAUUGCAGUCUUACCAAACAAACCUGUCCCAAUACCACUACUCGUGAUAUUCCCUAGGUUGAACCUAUACCUGUACCAUACCCAACCUCAAACCAGAAAUAGUGCGUGAUUACAAUAGUGAACGGACUCGAUUAUAAUAUAAAUGUGUAGUUAAUUUAGUGUGAAAACUACUUAGUAGAUUUAAAAAAAUAUAUCGUAUUUUUAUAAACCA